GUGUUGUGACGUACGGGUGGCAAACUAUACCGUACAGUUUUCUCAGGACGGUGUACAGUGGACGGACUAUCAAGAGCAAUGUCAGAAAAAGUAUUUCAGCGGCAACACUGACUAAAACACUAUUAAACUGCAAACCCUUGAUCCUCCCAUCGUUGCUAGAUUCGUUAGAAUAAACGUGGUCGACUUCAACCGGAAGUCCAGUAACGCUAACAACUACGUGGGCAUGCGCUUUGAACUUUACGGAUGUUCUGUCAGGUUUUAACGUUUUUGUUGAUAAAAUUGUUCAAACAAAUACAA